CUUGCCUAAGGAAGCCCUGGGCUCUGCAGCCAGUGUAACAGGAACCAAGUGUGGGUGUGUCACCAAAUCCCUGUAUGCCACAUAUCAAAGUUAAGGCCAGCCCAGAUUCUGAGGAGAGACAGAGACAGAGAGAAAGGAGCAGCGGAUUCCUGCAAACUUCAGCAUUGUGUGACUAGGAAGAUGCUGACCUGGCUUGCAAUUUCUUGGAGGAAACAGGGGUUGGAAAGAUGGCACAGAGAUUACAAGAGCUGGCUGCUUUUCCAGAGGACCCACCCAGUGGCUCACAACCGUUCACUUCCAGAGGGACGGGCAUCCUCUUCUGACCUCUGAGGACAUUGUACAUGCAUGGUGCAUAGAUUUACAUGCAAGCAAACGCCUGUACACGUAAAAUAAGUAAUAAAAGUCU
rnacentral:lncRNA from 1 species